rnacentral:rRNA from 1 species
UUAAGCGACUAAGCGUACACGGUGGAUGCCCUGGCAGUCAGAGGCGAUGAAGGACGUGCUAAUCUGCGAUAAGCGUCGGUAAGGUGAUAUGAACCGUUAUAACCGGCGAUUUCCGAAUGGGGAAACCCAGUGUGUUUCGACACACUAUCAUUAACUGAAUCCAUAGGUUAAUGAGGCGAACCGGGGGAACUGAAACAUCUAAGUACCCCGAGGAAAAGAAAUCAACCGAGAUUCCCCCAGUAGCGGCGAGCGAACGGGGAGCAGCCCAGAGCCUGAAUCAGUGUGUGUGUUAGUGGAAGCGUCUGGAAAGGCGCGCGAUACAGGGUGACAGCCCCGUACACAAAAAUGCACAUGCUGUGAGCUCGAUGAGUAGGGCGGGACACGUGGUAUCCUGUCUGAAUAUGGGGGGACCAUCCUCCAAGGCUAAAUACUCCUGACUGACCGAUAGUGAACCAGUACCGUGAGGGAAAGGCGAAAAGAACCCCGGCGAGGGGAGUGAAAAAGAACCUGAAACCGUGUACGUACAAGCAGUGGGAGCACGCUUAGGCGUGUGACUGCGUACCUUUUGUAUAAUGGGUCAGCGACUUAUAUUCUGUAGCAAGGUUAACCGAAUAGGGGAGCCGAAGGGAAACCGAGUCUUAACUGGGCGUUAAGUUGCAGGGUAUAGACCCGAAACCCGGUGAUCUAGCCAUGGGCAGGUUGAAGGUUGGGUAACACUAACUGGAGGACCGAACCGACUAAUGUUGAAAAAUUAGCGGAUGACUUGUGGCUGGGGGUGAAAGGCCAAUCAAACCGGGAGAUAGCUGGUUCUCCCCGAAAGCUAUUUAGGUAGCGCCUCGUGAAUUCAUCUCCGGGGGUAGAGCACUGUUUCGGCAAGGGGGUCAUCCCGACUUACCAACCCGAUGCAAACUGCGAAUACCGGAGAAUGUUAUCACGGGAGRCACACGGCGGGUGCUAACGUCCGUCGUGAAGAGGGAAACAACCCAGACCGCCAGCUAAGGUCCCAAAGUCAUGGUUAAGUGGGAAACGAUGUGGGAAGGCCCAGACAGCCAGGAUGUUGGCUUAGAAGCAGCCAUCAUUUAAAGAAAGCGUAAUAGCUCACUGGUCGAGUCGGCCUGCGCGGAAGAUGUAACGGGGCUAAACCAUGCACCGAAGCUGCGGCAGCGACGCUGAUGCGUUGUUGGGUAGGGGAGCGUUCUGUAAGCCUGCGAAGGUGUGCUGUGAGGCAUGCUGGAGGUAUCAGAAGUGCGAAUGCUGACAUAAGUAACGAUAAAGCGGGUGAAAAGCCCGCUCGCCGGAAGACCAAGGGUUCCUGUCCAACGUUAAUCGGGGCAGGGUGAGUCGACCCCUAAGGCGAGGCCGAAAGGCGUAGUCGAUGGGAAACAGGUUAAUAUUCCUGUACUUGGUGUUACUGCGAAGGGGGGACGGAGAAGGCUAUGUUGGCCGGGCGACGGUUGUCCCGGUUUAAGCGUGUAGGCUGGUUUUCCAGGCAAAUCCGGAAAAUCAAGGCUGAGGCGUGAUGACGAGGCACUACGGUGCUGAAGCAACAAAUGCCCUGCUUCCAGGAAAAGCCUCUAAGCAUCAGGUAACAUCAAAUCGUACCCCAAACCGACACAGGUGGUCAGGUAGAGAAUACCAAGGCGCUUGAGAGAACUCGGGUGAAGGAACUAGGCAAAAUGGUGCCGUAACUUCGGGAGAAGGCACGCUGAUAUGUAGGUGAAGUCCCUCGCGGAUGGAGCUGAAAUCAGUCGAAGAUACCAGCUGGCUGCAACUGUUUAUUAAAAACACAGCACUGUGCAAACACGAAAGUGGACGUAUACGGUGUGACGCCUGCCCGGUGCCGGAAGGUUAAUUGAUGGGGUYAGCCGCAAGGCGAAGCUCUUGAUCGAAGCCCCGGUAAACGGCGGCCGUAACUAUAACGGUCCUAAGGUAGCGAAAUUCCUUGUCGGGUAAGUUCCGACCUGCACGAAUGGCGUAAUGAUGGCCAGGCUGUCUCCACCCGAGACUCAGUGAAAUUGAACUCGCUGUGAAGAUGCAGUGUACCCGCGGCAAGACGGAAAGACCCCGUGAACCUUUACUAUAGCUUGACACUGAACAUUGAGCCUUGAUGUGUAGGAUAGGUGGGAGGCUUGGAAGUGUGGACGCCAGUCUGCAUGGAGCCGACCUUGAAAUACCACCCUUUAAUGUUUGAUGUUCUAACGUUGACCCGUAAUCCGGGUUGCGGACAGUGUCUGGUGGGUAGUUUGACUGGGGCGGUCUCCUCCUAAAGAGUAACGGAGGAGCACGAAGGUUGGCUAAUCCUGGUCGGACAUCAGGAGGUUAGUGCAAUGGCAUAAGCCAGCUUGACUGCGAGCGUGACGGCGCGAGCAGGUGCGAAAGCAGGUCAUAGUGAUCCGGUGGUUCUGAAUGGAAGGGCCAUCGCUCAACGGAUAAAAGGUACUCCGGGGAUAACAGGCUGAUACCGCCCAAGAGUUCAUAUCGACGGCGGUGUUUGGCACCUCGAUGUCGGCUCAUCACAUCCUGGGGCUGAAGUAGGUCCCAAGGGUAUGGCUGUUCGCCAUUUAAAGUGGUACGCGAGCUGGGUUUAGAACGUCGUGAGACAGUUCGGUCCCUAUCUGCCGUGGGCGCUGGAGAACUGAGGGGGGCUGCUCCUAGUACGAGAGGACCGGAGUGGACGCAUCACUGGUGUUCGGGUUGUCAUGCCAAUGGCACUGCCCGGUAGCUAAAUGCGGAAGAGAUAAGUGCUGAAAGCAUCUAAGCACGAAACUUGCCCCGAGAUGAGUUCUCCCUGACYCYUURAGRGUCCUGAAGGAACGUUGAAGACGACGACGUUGAUAGGCCGGGUGUGUAAGCGCAGCGAUGCGUUGAGCUAACCGGUACUAAUGAACCGUGAGGCUUAACCUU